rnacentral:misc_RNA from 1 species
GGAAGUGGAAAACGGCGUUAAUCAUGAUCCUGCUCAUAGAAACCAUGAUCAACAUCUGGAAGAGAAGGGAGUCACAGAUAAACACAGUGGACACUGUGUUUCUGAUUGCAAUGGAAAUGAAUGUUCAUCAUCUCAUGAAUGGCUGGACCCAUCUCUACAGUUGAAUGUUCCGUUGGUUGAUGUAGAUAAGGUCCGUUGUAUUAUA